AGUGAACGCUGGCGGCAGGCCUAACACAUGCAAGUCGAACGGCAGCACAGGAGAGCUUGCUCUCUGGGUGGCGAGUGGCGGACGGGUGAGGAACACAUCGGAAUCUACCUUGUCGUGGGGGAUAACGUAGGGAAACUUACGCUAAUACCGCAUACGAACUAUGGUUGAAAGCGGCGGACCGCAAGGCGUCGCGCGAUUGGAUGAGCCGAUGUCCGAUUAGCUAGUUGGCGGGGUAAAGGCCCACCAAGGCGACGAUCGGUAGCUGGUCUGAGAGGAUGAUCAGCCACACUGGAACUGAGACACGGUCCAGACUCCUACGGGAGGCAGCAGUGGGGAAUAUUGGACAAUGGGGGCAACCCUGAUCCAGCCAUGCCGCGUGUGUGAAGAAGGCCUUCGGGUUGUAAAGCACUUUUGUUGGGGAAGAAAAGCGGUCGGUUAAUACCCGAUUGUUCUGACGGUACCCAAAGAAUAAGCACCGGCUAACUUCGUGCCAGCCGCCGCAGUAA
rnacentral:rRNA from 1 species